GUGGAGAGUGGCGCACGGGUGAGUAACACAUGGCUAACCUGCCCCUCAGAGGGGGACAACCGCUGGAAACGGUGGCUAAUACCCCAUAGGCUCACGGUGAGUAGCAGNGCUGUGAGGAAAGCUGAGGCGCUGAGGGAGGGGGCUGUGGCCCAUCAGCUAGUUGGUAAGGUAAUGACUUACCAAGGCGAAGACGGGUAGGGGGCCUGAGAGGGUGACCCCCCACACGGGUACUGAGACACGGACCCGACUCCUACGGGAGGCAGCAGUAAGGGAUAUUGCGACAAUGGGCGAAAGCCUGACGCAGCAACGCCGCGUGCGGGAGGAAGGCCUUCGGGUUGUAAACCGCUUUUCGGGGGGAAGAGGAAGGACGGUACCCCCGGGAAUAAGUCUCGGCUAACUACGUGCCAGCAGCCGCGGUAAAACGUAGGAGGCGAACGUUAUCCGGAUUUACUGGGUGUUAAGCGCGUGCAGGCGGUGACGUAAGUUGUGCGUG
rnacentral:rRNA from 1 species